ACCCACCAUUCAAGCAAAGCCUUUGUGUGGACAAACCAUUUCAGACAAAUCCAGUGGGAGGCAGUAAGUGGAAUGGAGAAAAAAAAACAAAAAAAUUGGAUUCAAAGCUCAGAUCCACCACUUAUUGACUAAAACUCUAAGCAAGUCGAUCUCCCUGAGGUUCAGGAUCCUUGAUAUGCCACCAUUUUCAGUCUCUGAACAGCCUAAAAUCUAAUUUUUGCCAGCUGAUCAAAUGGACUGUGAGGAGAAAAUCCAUAAAAUGCCAUAAGUACUAGAAGUUAAUUUAUGGACUCGCCUGAAAUGCAGAUGCUCAAUCUGAGUCCUCUGACAGCCUCACUAUUUUAAAAGCAAGUUGGAUCCAGCGCUCUUGAAGAUGGAGAGGCAGCCGAGAACCACCUUCCCUAAUUGCCUGAUGAAGACUCCUCUUGAGUUGAGACACCAGCUUACUGGUUAUUGUGUCUAAUGAGUA
rnacentral:lncRNA from 1 species